AUUACUCUGUAGACCAGGCUGGCCUCAACUCAGAGAUCUGCCUGUCUCUGCUUCCCAAGUGCUGGGAUUAAAGGUGUGCACCACCACUGCCCAAACUACUUUCUUUCUGGGAAUCAGCAUCAUUAAACGAACUUGGAGGCCUUGUGUAAGAUGGCGUGGUCCUGACUGACACCAAGUUCAAUGGCUGAGCUCCGACUUUGCCACAGAUCUUUUCUCUGAAGCGCCCCAUCACUGUGUCCUCUGUUUUGCUGGUCAGAGCUCAGAUCCCUACUUUGGCAGGAAGGACUGAAUGCCAUGGCUCUCUCUACCCUGCAGUCAGCAGGAGCACAGAUCAUGCUUCUGAUGGCAGCGUGGACUACUGACAUCCACGUGGUCUCCAGUGUCAACAUGUGCCACAGACCUCAGCAUGGUCUCCCGUAGCAGUACAGAAUGCAGAUAUCAACACAGCACUCUGCAGCAGCACAGGCCACGGACACCAUCACAACCCUCAGCAGCAGCAUGGACCACGGACAUUGGUGGUAACACAGGCCAUGGACGUCUACACCAUCCCUAGCUACAGUAAGAGGGAUCAUGGACCCAGACAAUGGCCCUCGAUGGCAACGUGGCCUUAGGGGGCUGCACAGGCCACUCACAUCAGUGUGGACCCGGUGACUAGUCUGCUCUAUAUCAUACUGUAUAUAAUAAAUGUACUGAGUAUCUGG